rnacentral:rRNA from 1 species
AUUGAACGCUGGCGGCAGGCCUAACACAUGCAAGUCGGACGGUAGCACAGAGGAGCUUGCUCCUCGGGUGACGAGUGGCGGACGGGUGAGUAAUGUCUGGGGAUCUGCCCGAUAGAGGGGGAUAACCACUGGAAACGGUGGCUAAUACCGCAUAACGUCGCAAGACCAAAGAGGGGGACCUUCGGGCCUCUCACUAUCGGAUGAACCCAGAUGGGAUUAGCUAGUAGGCGGGGUAACGGCCCACCUAGGCGACGAUCCCUAGCUGGUCUGAGUGUAUGAACAGCAACGCUGGAACUGAGACACGGUCCAGACGCCGACGGGAGGCAGCAGUGGGGAAUAUUGCACAAUGGGCGCAAGCCUGAUGCAGCCUUGCCGCGUGUAUGAAGAAGGCCUUCGGGUUGUAAAGUACUUUCAGCGGGGAGGAAGGCGAUGUGGUUAAUAACCGCGUCGAUUGACGUUACCCGCAGAAGAAGCACCGGCAAACUCCGUGCCAGCAGCCGCAGUAA